UAUCAUCCCAUUGUUAUACUCAAUGUACUGUGAUCAUCCGUAAAAUACUGAGAUCAACGCUAUAAUAUCUUUUACAGUAUCAUUCGGUUUUCUUUCGCGCGCGUAUGAUCUCAGGUUUGACUGAAGGUACGGAAACGAUACGUACGCCUUUCUACCGCGCGCGUAAAAUCUCAGGUUUUACUCAAAGUACUGAGAUGGUAUCGUACUCGUGUCUUGCGCGUGCGUAUAAUCUUCAAUUAUACUCAAGAUAUGAAAACGGUACGUAUAUCAGCGCCAUCUGCAUCCGUCAUUUCUGUUCCGAUCUUUUUCCGGUAGCAGUACGUGGAGUGACAUGGCGACGUGCAAUCCAGGAAGAAAACAGUGUGAUUGAUAUCAAAGUUUAAGGUUAUCUGUUGGCGUUCUCGGAUAAUAACCGAAGUGGAGAUUCAACCGGACAUUCAGGAGAUAGAGGCGAUCCCGGUGGAGAUACCGUGCGAGACCGUGGAGACGAUCGAGGGCGAGGACGAGCAGCCGAUGAUAGCGCUGCAGCCGCUGCCGGCCGGCUUGGUUGCAAAGUAAAAAGCAUAUGCAAGUACCAAGUCCCUGAGGUGCAUUUCGACGUUUUGUUAACGUUUUGUUGACGUUUGGUAUUAUUUUGAUCAACUGCUGGCUGGGUUUCCUACCUACUGCUGUUCAAUAGUCUACGCUGGACAAACUAUACGUGACAGGUAUGUUUUAUUCAACACACAAAUAAUGAAUU